UACAGAGGUCUCAAGCGUUGUUCGGAUUCAUUGGGCGUAAAGGGUGCGUAGGGGGCGCUGUAAGUCGGGUGUGAAAUUUCGGAGCUUAACUCCGAAACUGCACUUGAUACUGCCUUGCUCGAGUACUGGAGAGGAGAUUGGAAUUUACGGUGUAGCAGUGGAAUGCGUAGAUAUCGUAAGGAAGACCAGUGGCGAAGGCGAAUCUCUGGACAGUUACUGACACUGAGGCACGAAGGCCAGGGGAGCAAACAGG
rnacentral:rRNA from 1 species